rnacentral:lncRNA from 1 species
GUUUGUUCUAUUAUCAUGUGCAUGUAUAUUUUAAUGUUACAUCACUUCCCAUGCUUCAGGGGGCGGGUGACCAAUGGUAGACAUGCUAAAUAUGGUUUCACUCUGUUAAUGGCAAGCACGGAGCCUUCAAUUCAGGGAUGUUUUUGGUUGCUGUCACAAUUUUUGACUUGUAUUGUUUUGACAUCAGCAAACUUUAACCGUUUG